GUAGUCAUAUGCUUGUCUCAAAGAUUAAGCCAUGCAUGUCUGAGUAUAAGCAAUUAUACCGUGAAACUGCGAAUGGCUCAUUAAAUCAGUUAUCGUUUAUUUGAUAAUACCUUACUACUUGGAUAACCGUGGUAAUUCUAGAGCUAAUACAUGCUGAAAAUCCCGACUUCGGAAGGGAUGUGUUUAUUAGAUAAAAAACCAAUGCCCUUCGGGGCUUUUUGGUGAUUCAUAAUAACUUCUCAGAUCGCAUGGCCUUGCGCCGGCGACGGUUCAUUCAAAUUUCUGCCCUAUCAACUUUCGAUGGCAAGGUAUUGGCUUACCAUGGUCUCAACGGGUAACGGGGAAUUAGGGUUCGAUUCCGGAGAGGGAGCCUGAGAAGCGGCUACCACAUCCAAGGAAGGCAGCAGGCGCGCAAAUUACCCAAUCCCGACACGGGGAGGUAGUGACAAUAAAUACUGAUACAGGGCUCUUUUGGGUCUUGUAAUUGGAAUGAGUACAAUUUAAACCUCUUAACGAGGAACAAUUGGGGGGCAAGUCUGGUGCCAGCAGCC
rnacentral:rRNA from 1 species